rnacentral:lncRNA from 1 species
AUGUUGUAUGAUCAGGUGUCACAUGUCAUGUUCAGUACUGGAGUGGUAAAUGCAGGUUGUAUGAUCAGGUGUCACAUGUCAUGUUCAGUACUGGAGUGGUAAAUGAAUGUUGUAUGAUCAGGUGUCACAUGUCAUGUUCAGUACAGGAGUGGUAAAUGAAUGUUGUAUGAUCAGGUGUCACAUGUCAUGUUCAGUACAAGAGUGGUAAAUGCAUGUUGUAUGAUCAGGUGUCACAUGUCAUGUUCAGUACAGGAGUGGUAAAUGAAUAUUGUAUAAUCAGGUGUCACAUGUCAUGUUCAGUACAAGAGUGGUGAAUGAAUGUUGUAUGAUCAGGUGUCACAUGUCAUGUUCAGUACAGGAGUGGUAAAUGAAUGUUGUAUAAUCAGGUGUCUCAUGUCAUGUUUAGUACAGGAGUGGUGAAUGAAAGUUGUAUGAUCAGGU